rnacentral:rRNA from 1 species
CGUGGGUAACCUACCCAUCAGAGGGGGAUAACACUUGGAAACAGGUGCUAAUACCGCAUAACAGUUUAUGCCGCAUGGCAUAAGAGUGAAAGGCGCUUUCGGGUGUCGCUGAUGGAUGGACCCGCGGUGCAUUAGCUAGUAGGUGGGGUAACGGCUCACCUAGGCGACGAUCCCUAGCUGGUCUGAGAGGAUGACCAGCCACACUGGAACUGAGACACGGUCCAG